rnacentral:rRNA from 1 species
GAGUUUGAUCUUGGCUCAGGAUGAACGCUGGCGGUGUGCCUAAUACAUGCAAGUCGAGCGGUAAGGCUCCUUCGGGAGUACACGAGCGGCGGACGGGUGAGUAACGCGUAAGAAUGUACCCCAAACUGAGGGAUAAGCACCAGAAAUGGUGUCUAAUACCGCAUAUGCUCUACGGAGUAAAGCUACGGCGGUUUGGGAACAGCUUGCGUAUGAUUAGCUAGUUGGUAAGGUAAUGGCUUACCAAGGCGACGAUCAUUAGCUGGUCUGAGAGGAUGAUCAGCCACACUGGGACUGAGACACGGCCCAGACUCCUACGGGAGGCAGCAGUAGGGAAUUUUCCACAAUGGGGGCAACCCUGAUGGAGCAACACCGCGUGCAGG